ACACGACUACAUUAGAUACCCCUGUAGUCCUAGCCGUAAACGAUACUCGCUAGGUGUCGGCCACGGUGCGACCGUUGUCGGUGCCGUAGGGAAGCCGUGAAGCGAGCCACCUGGGAAGUACGGCCGCAAGGCUGAAACUUAAAGGAAUUGGCGGGGGAGCGCCACAACGGGUGGAGCUUGCGGUUUAAUUGGAUUCAACGCCGGAAAUCUUACCGGGACCGACAGCAACAUGAAGGCCAAGCUGAAGACUUUUGUCGGAUUAGCUG
rnacentral:rRNA from 1 species